rnacentral:rRNA from 1 species
AUUGAACGCUGGCGGCAUGCCUUACACAUGCAAGUCGAACGGCAGCGACGGGGGCUUGCUCCUGGUGGCGAGUGGCGAACGGGUGAGUAAUACAUCGGAACGUACCUGAAGUGGGGGAUAACGUAGCGAAAGUUACGCUAAUACCGCAUAUUCUGUGAGCAGGAAAGAGGGGGGAUCGCAAGACCUCUUGCUUCAGGAGCGGCCGAUGUCGGAUUAGCUAGUUGGUGAGGUAAAGGCUCACCAAGGCGACGAUCCGUAGCGGGUCUGAGAGGAUGAUCCGCCACACUGGGACUGAGACACGGCCCAGACUCCUACGGGAGGCAGCAGUGGGGAAUAUUGGUCAAUGGGCGCGAGCCUGAACCAGCCAAGUCGCGUGAAGGAAGACUGUCCUAUGGAUUGUAAACUUCUUUUGUACAGGAAUAAAGUGUUCUACGUGUAGGAUUUUGCAUGUACUGUACGAAUAAGGAUCGGCUAACUCCGUG